rnacentral:rRNA from 1 species
GGCAAUUCGCACAGCGAAAGGUGCUUGCACCUUUCAAGUGAGUGGCGAACGGGUGAGUAACACGUGGACAACCUGCCUCAAGGCUGGGGAUAACAUUUGGAAACAGAUGCUAAUACCGAAUAAAACUUAGUGUCGCAUGACAAAAAGUUAAAAGGCGCUUCGGCGUCACCUAGAGAUGGAUCCGCGGUGCAUUAGUUAGUUGGUGGGGUAAAGGCCUACCAAGACAAUGAUGCAUAGCCGAGUUGAGAGACUGAUCGGCCACAUUGGGACUGAGACACGGCCCAAACUCCUACGGGAGGCUGCAGUAGGGAAUCUUCCACAAUGGGCGAAAGCCUGAUGGAGCAACGCCGCGUGUGUGAUGAAGGCUUUCGGGUCGUAAAGCACUGUUGUAUGGGAAGAACAGCUAGAAUAGGAAAUGAUUUUAGUUUGACGGUACCAUACCAGAAAGGGACGGCUAAAUACGUGCCAGCAGCCGCGGUAAUACGUAUGUCCCGAGCGUUAUCCGGAUUUAUUGGGCGUAAAGCGAGCGCAGACGGUUUAUUAAGUCUGAUGUGAAAGCCCGGAGCUCAACUCCGGAAUGGCAUUGGAAACUGGUUAACUUGAGUGCAGUAGAGGUAAGUGGAACUCCAUGUGUAGCGGUGGAAUGCGUAGAUAUAUGGAAGAACACCAGUGGCGAAGGCGGCUUACUGGACUGCAACUGACGUUGAGGCUCGAAAGUGUGGGUAGCAAACAGGAUUAGAUACCCUGGUAGUCCACACCGUAAACGAUGAACACUAGGUGUUAGGAGGUUUCCGCCUCUUAGUGCCGAAGCUAACGCAUUAAGUGUUCCGCCUGGGGAGUACGACCGCAAGGUUGAAACUCAAAGGAAUUGACGGGGACCCGCACAAGCGGUGGAGCAUGUGGUUUAAUUCGAAGCAACGCGAAGAACCUUACCAGGUCUUGACAUCCUUUGAAGCUUUUAGAGAUAGAAGUGUUCUCUUCGGAGACAAAGUGACAGGUGGUGCAUGGUCGUCGUCAGCUCGUGUCCUGAA